rnacentral:rRNA from 1 species
UACGUAGGGGGCAAGCGUUGUCCGGAAUCAUUGGGCGUAAAGCGCGUGUAGGCGGUUACGUAAGUCUGCUGUGAAAGUCGGAGGCUCAACCUUCGAAAGCCGGUGGAUACUGCGUGACUAGAGUACGGAAGAGGAGAGUGGAAUUCCUGGUGUAGCGGUGUAAUGCGCAGAUAUCAGGAGGAACACCAACGGCGAAGGCAGCUCUCUGGGACGUUACUGACGCUGAGACGCGAAAGCGUGGGGAGCAAACAGG